rnacentral:rRNA from 1 species
AGGGCGCACGGUGGAUGCCUUGGCACUAGGAGCCGAUGAAGGACGGAACUAAUACCGAUAUGCUUCGGGGAGCUAUAAGUAAGCUUUGAUCCGGAGAUUUCCGAAUGGGGGAACCCAGUACACAUCAGUGUAUUGCUUGUCAGUGAAUACAUAGCUGGCCGGCGGCAGACGCGGGGAACUGAAACAUCUCAGUACCCGCAGGAAGAGAAAGAAAACUCGAUUCCCAUAGUAGCGGCGAGCGAAGUGGGAAGAGCCCAAACCGAGAAGCUUGCUUCUCGGGGUUGUAGGACUGGACAUUGGAGUUACCAAAGUCCGACGUAGUCGAAGUCAGCUGGAAAGCUGCGCCACAGAAGGUGAAAGCCCUGUAAGCGAAACGUCGAACCCUCCGUCCAGGAUCCUGAGUACGGCGGAACACGUGAAAUUCCGUCGGAAUCCGGGAGGACCAUCUCCCAAGGCUAAAUACUCCCUAGUGACCGAUAGUGAACCAGUACCGUGAGGGAAAGGUGAAAAGCACCCCGGAAGGGGAGUGAAACAGUUCCUGAAACCGUGUGCCUACAAUUAGUCAAAGCCCGUUAAUGGGUAAUGGCGUGCCUUUUGUAGAAUGAACCGGCGAGUUACGUUUGCUUGCGAGGUUAAGAUGAAAAGUCGGAGCCGUAGCGAAAGCGAGUCUGAACAGGGCGAAUGAGUAAGCAGAUGUAGACCCGAAACCAAGUGACCUACCCAUGACCAGGUUGAAGGUGUGGUGAAACACACUGGAGGACCGAACCCAUGUAUGUUGAAAAAUGCUGGGAUGAGUUGUGGGUAGCGGUGAAAUUCCAAACGAACUUGGAGAUAGCUGGUUCUCUCCGAAAUAGCUUUAGGGUUAGCCUCGGAGGAUGGAUCAUGGAGGUAGAGCACUGUUUGAACUAGGGGCCCAUCAAGGGUUACUGAAUUCAGAUAAACUCCGAAUACCAUCGAUCUUACUCCGGGAGUCAGACAGUGAGCGAUAAGGUCCAUUGUCGAAAGGGGAACAGCCCAGAUCACCAGUUAAGGUCCCUAAAUUUAUGCUAAGUGGAAAAGGAUGUGGCGUUGCACAGACAACUAGGAUGUUGGCUCAGAAGCAGCCACCAUUUAAAGAGUGCGUAAUAGCUCACUAGUCGAGUGGCACUGCGCCGAAAAUAUACCGGGGCUAAGCAUAAUACCGAAACUGUGGGUGCACCCGUAAGGGUGCGCGGUAGGAGAGCGUUCUAAGGGCGUUGAAGGUCGAUCGUGAGGACGGCUGGAGCGCUUAGAAGUGAGAAUGCCGGCAUGAGUAGCGAAAGAUCAGUGAGAAUCUGAUCCACCGUAUGACUAAGGUUUCCUGGGGAAGGCUCGUCCUCCCAGGGUUAGUCGGGAUCUAAGGCGAGGCCGAGAGGCGUAGUCGAUGACAAGCAGGUUGAGAUUCCUGCACUAGUUUAUUUUGUUUAAGCGAUGGAGGGACGCAGGAGGCUAAGGAAAGCGCACGGCUGGAAAUGUGCGCCCAAGCAGCAAGUCUGACAGCGAGUGAAAUGCUUGCAGUCUUAAGGACAAGCUGUGAUGGGGAGCGAAAUUAUAGUAGCGAAGUUCCUGAUGUCACACUGCCAAGAAAAGCUUCUAGUGAGAAAUAAACUACCCGUACCGCAAACCGACACAGGUAGUCGAGGAGAGUAUCCUCAGGUGAGCGAGCGAACUCUCGUUAAGGAACUCGGCAAAAUGACCCCGUAACUUCGGAAGAAGGGGUGCUGACCGCAAGGUCAGCCGCAGUGAAUAGGCCCAAACAACUGUUUAUCAAAAACACAGGUCUCUGCUAAAUCGUAAGAUGAUGUAUAGGGGCUGACGCCUGCCCGGUGCUGGAAGGUUAAGAGGAUGAGUUAGCGCAAGCGAAGCCCAGAAUUGAAGCCCCAGUAAACGGCGGCCGUAACUAUAACGGUCCUAAGGUAGCGAAAUUCCUUGUCGGGUAAGUUCCGACCCGCACGAAAGGCGUAAUGAUUUGGGCACUGUCUCAACGAGAGACUCGGUGAAAUUAUAGUACCCGUGAAGAUGCGGGUUACCCGCGACAGGACGGAAAGACCCCAUGGAGCUUUACUGUAGCUUGAUAUUGAGUGUUUGUACCGCUUGUACAGGAUAGGUAGGAGCCGUAGAGAUCGGAACGCUAGUUUCGAUGGAGGCGUUGGUGGGAUACUACCCUAGCUGUAUGAACACUCUAACCCGCGCCACUAAUCGUGGCGGGAGACAGUGUCAGGUAGGCAGUUUGACUGGGGCGGUCGCCUCCUAAAAUGUAACGGAGGCGCCCAAAGGUUCCCUCAGAAUGGUUGGAAAUCAUUCGCAGAGUGUAAAGGUAUAAGGGAGCUUGACUGCGAGACUGACAAGUCGAGCAGGGACGAAAGUCGGGCUUAGUGAUCCGGUGGUUCCGUAUGGAAGGGCCAUCGCUCAACGGAUAAAAGCUACCCUGGGGAUAACAGGCUUAUCUCCCCCAAGAGUCCACAUCGACGGGGAGGUUUGGCA